rnacentral:rRNA from 1 species
UACGGAGGGUGCAAGCGUUGUCCGGAAUCACUGGGCGUAAAGGGCGCGUAGGCGGCUCAUGAAGGCUGUGGUGAAAGUCCGGGGCUCAACCUCGGAUCGGCCGUGGCGACUCGUGGGCUGGAGCACUGUAGAGGCGGGUGGAAUUCCGGGUGUAGCGGUGGAAUGCGUAGAGAUCCGGAAGAACACCAGUGGCGAAGGCGGCCCGCUGAGCAGUGGCUGACGCUGAGGCGCGACAGCGUGGGGAGCAAACAGG